CACAACUGUAAAUACAAAGCGGGAGCCAAAAAAGAAGAAAAAAAAAAAAAUUUAAUUAAUGGCGAAUCAGCAGCAAGCAUCGAUUCGGCCAUGGUUUCUCGACAUCGUACCUCUCGUCGUCGUUCUUCUCAUCGUUGCCCACGUGCUCGCGUUGGUUUAUUGGAUUUACAAAUUAGCAACUCAGAAGCAGCCUCCAAGAGCGAAAAGGCACUAAAAUUUGGUGAAGCAGUGAAAAACAUAUUCGGAUUUGCAGAUGAUUAGAAGAUGUAAGAAGAAUUUGAUUUUGUAUUUGUUUGCUUCUGGUGUUCAAUUGCUUUUCUGCAGAUUAGGGUUUUUUUUUUUUUUUUUUGAGUUGACUGAUCAUUUGCUUUUCUCUUCUUAGUCAAAUAGAGAGAAUUUAUACUGUGUCAAUUGAUUUGAUGAAUCUUGAUUUGGAAUGUUUUUUUUAUUUGAUCCGUAUACCUAGUUUUUUCGAAAAUAAUCGUAAACCGGAACAUAGUAAAAACGCAUCUCGAUUUUUGAACUCCGAUUUGAUCUGCCAUUGCAUUGAUAUUCGAUAAUGUAAUGUUUCUUGUAUUCUCAUGA